rnacentral:rRNA from 1 species
AGAGUUUGAUCCUGGCUCAGGAUGAACGCUAGCUACAGGCUUAACACAUGCAAGUCGAGGGGAAACGACAUCGAAAGCUUGCUUUUGAUGGGCGUCGACCGGCGCACGGGUGAGUAACGCGUAUCCAACCUGCCCACCACUUGGGGAUAACCUUGCGAAAGUAAGACUAAUACCCAAUGACGUCUCUAGAAGACAUCUGAAAGAGAUUAAAGAUUUAUCGGUGAUGGAUGGGGAUGCGUCUGAUUAGCUUGUUGGCGGGGUAACGGCCACCAAGGCGACGAUCAGGUAGGGGUUCUGAGAGGAAGGUCCCCCANAUUGGAACUGGAGACACGGUCCAAACUCCGUACGGGAGCA